GAUGAACGCUGGCGGCGUGCCUAAUACAUGCAAGUCGAGCGAACAGACGAGGGGCUUGCUCCUUUGACGUUAGCGGCGGACGGGUGAGUAACACGUGGGUAACCUACCUAUAAGACUGGGAUAACUUCGGGAAACCGGAGCUAAUACCGGAUAAUAUUUCGAACCGCAUGGUUCGAUAGUGAAAGAUGGCUUUGCUAUCACUUAUAGAUGGACCUGCGCCGUAUUAGCUAGUUGGUAAGGUAACGGCUUACCAAGGCAACGAUACGUAGCCGACCUGAGAGGGUGAUCGGCCACACUGGAACUGAGACACGGUCCAGACUCCUACGGGAGGCAGCAGUAGGGAAUCUUCCGCAAUGGGCGAAAGCCUGACCGAGCAACGCCGCGUGAGUGAUGAAGGUCUUCGGAUCGUAAAACUCUGUUAUUAGGGAAGAACAAACGUGUAAGUAACUGUGCACGUCUUGACGGUACCUAAUCAGAAAGCCCCGGCUAACUACGUG
rnacentral:rRNA from 1 species